rnacentral:rRNA from 1 species
GGGAGGCAGCAGUGGGGAAUUUUGGACAAUGGGCGAAAGCCUGAUCCAGCAAUGCCGCGUGCAGGAUGAAGGCCUUCGGGUUGCAAACUGCUUUUGUACGGAACGAAAAAGCUUCUCCUAAUACGAGAGGCCCAUGACGGUACCGUAAGAAUAAGCACCGGCUAACUACGUGCCAGCAGCCGCGGUAAUACGUAGGGUGCGAGCGUUAAUCGGAAUUACUGGGCGUAAAGCGUGCGCAGGCGGUUAUGUAAGACAGAUGUGAAAUCCCCGGGCUCAACCUGGGAACUGCAUUUGUGACUGCAUGGCUAGAGUACGGUAGAGGGGGAUGGAAUUCCGCGUGUAGCAGUGAAAUGCGUAGAUAUGCGGAGGAACACCGAUGGCGAAGGCAAUCCCCUGGACCUGUACUGACGCUCAUGCACGAAAGCGUGGGGAGCAAACAGGAUUAGAUACCCUGGUAGUCCACGCCCUAAACGAUGUCAACUGGUUGUUGGGAAUUAGUUUUCUCAGUAACGAAGCUAACGCGUGAAGUUGACCGCCUGGGGGGUACGGCCGCAAGGUUGAAACUCAAAUGAAUUGACGG